UACAGAGGUCUCAAGCGUUGUUCGGAUUCAUUGGGCGCAAAGGGUGCGUAGGUGGCAUGGUAAGUCGGAUGUGAAAUCCCGGGGCUCAACCCCGGAACUGCAUUCGAUACUGCUGCGCUAGAGUACUGGAGAGGAGAUUGGAAUUUACGGUGUAGCAGUGAAAUGCGUAGAUAUCGUAAGGAAGACCAGUGGCGAAGGCGGAUCUCUGGACAGUUACUGACACUGAGGCACGAAGGCCAGGGGAGCAAACGGG
rnacentral:rRNA from 1 species